UACAUCCACAGGAAUUCUUAGUGGCAGGAA
rnacentral:piRNA from 1 species